AACGAACGCUGGCGGCAGGCUUAACACAUGCAAGUCGAACGCCCCGCAAGGGGAGUGGCAGACGGGUGAGUAACGCGUGGGAACAUACCCUUUCCUGCGGAAUAGCUCUGGGAAACUGGAAUUAAUACCGCACAAGCCCUACGGGUGAAAGAUUUAUCGGGGAAGGAUUGGCCCGCGUUGGAUUAGCUAGUUGGUGGGGUAAAGGCCUACCAAGGCGACGAUCCAUAGCUGGUCUGAGAGGAUGAUCAGCCACAUUGGGACUGAGACACGGCCCAAACUCCUACGGGAGGCAGCAGUGGGGAAUAUUGGACAAUGGGCGCAAGCCUGAUCCAGCCAUGCCGCGUGAGUGAUGAAGGCCUUAGGGUUGUAAAGCUCUUUCACCGAUGAAGAUAAUGACGGUAGUCGGAGAAGAAGCCCCGGCUAACUUCGUGCCAGCCGCCGCGGUAAAAC
rnacentral:rRNA from 1 species